CCGUCGUGUGUGAAUCGCAAGCGGGCAGGGUAGAGAAAUCUAAAAUGGAUCCCUUUCUGGUAGAGCAUUGUUUUAAUGUUCUUGAAUUCAGCGUGCUUCUUGGAGAGGGCCGUGCUUAGGUCAGGAUAGAAUCUGAGAGUCUUCCCUUGGUACUGCAGCUUGUGUUGCCUAGCCCAGCGCAAAGCUUGUUCCUUCUCCUGGAAUUGAUGAAAACAGGAUAAUAGGUCUUGGAGGCUUGGAAUCACUGGUACAUCUACAGAUGAAGAUACUUUCUAUUGGAGUAGCCAGCAAUGAAACCAUCAUUGAAGGUGUUAAACAGUUUUUUAGAGAACAGCUUCCGAAUGGAACAGCCUACACGGUCACCGUGACAAACAUUCAAAGGGUUACAGUUGCUCCAUAGAAGCUGCUUGUGGAUAUAUAAUCGCCUCAACCAUUUGAUUUGUCUACAGUUUGAGCACAACACAUCAAUUUACCCAAAUCAUAAGAAGUAUCUGGAUUGCACUAAAGGUACAAGAAAGUUUUUUUUUUAUUAAAGAGGUUUAGAUUUUAGGCUCAGUCCCUUUUUACAUAUCUUUAUCAUCAUUGUCAAAAACAACCCUCUAUUAGGCAACAUUAAGACAUGUUUCACUGUAUAAUCUCCAAACAAUAUUUUCAUUAUCACACUGUUGUCUUUAAUUCCCAGAAAUAUGAAUAGUGGAGAUGUCCAUUUGGCUCAAGUAUCAAAUUACUUGCACACUACAGAGUUUAAGAGUAUCAUACACGAAUGGGGAAACAGUUUACAUAAAAGACUGGCAACGAUAAUCUUGAUGAGUGCCUCAUACCAAGUGUAUGACAGUUGUACCUCGAAUCAUGGAAAUUUAUGUGGUAUAACUGACUGACAGAAUGCACUGUUAUGUUUAUUUAAUGUAAAUCCAUUUUAUCUUGUACCAUUAAGAACAUUUUCAUGUAUUUUUCCAAUUCAUUGGACAAAAAGCACUAUGUGUAUGUUGUGUGUUAGGGGCUCUGCUAUUAAACAACACCUUGAACUUUUUUAGUACAGAGAAGGAAGUCCAAGAAAUUCUGCAUGCAGGUUAACUUCAAAACAUUUCCAUAACAUGGGCUUGAGGCAUACAUAAAUGAUUAAGGGUGGAUUAAGGUGUGGAAUAAGUAGAAAUCAUAAACUGUAAACGGUAGAAAUAUAUAAUUAAAAUGUCACGUGUUUAAGUAAUUAAAAUGUAUUCAUAAAGCACUUUUCACAAGUCUCAAAGUGCUUUACAGGGCCAAACACAAGAAACACAAUACAGAAUGCAUGAUAAGUAUUACGCAUUAACAAUUUGUAAUGCUUAGGUUAGUAUGCAUCAGUCAUUUAUUUUUUGCUUGCUGCUAGGUUUUGCAGCAAAUUGUUUUAUCUUUUCACCUACAGACAUC